UACAGAGGGUGCAAGCGUUAAUCGGAAUUAUUGGGCGUAAAGCGCACGUAGGUGGUUGUGUAAGUCUGAUGUGAAAGCCCUGGGCUUAACCUAGGAAUGGCGUUGGAUACUGUACAACUCGAGUCGGACAGAGGGCAGUGGAAUUUCCGGUGUAGCGGUGAAAUGCGUAGAGAUCGGAAAGAACACCAGUGGCGAAGGCGGCUGCCUGGGUCCAGACUGACACUGAGGUGCGAAAGCGUGGGGAGCAAACAGG
rnacentral:rRNA from 1 species